rnacentral:lncRNA from 1 species
UUAUCGCUCUGAAAUUCCUCCAAGUACACUGAAAAUGCCGGCCAUUCGGUUGGAGAAGACACCAUCUUAACCAGAUCAGAACAGUCUGUAAGGAACUCUACCUCUUGAUUAUCUGCACCUAUCAUACACUUCAUCGCCCAAAGAAGGGCCUCGAACUCGGCAUGUAAUGGAGAUAAACUUCGACGGAGAUUUGCAGCUCCCAUGGUUGGCGGCUCUCCG